rnacentral:tRNA from 1 species
GAGAGAGGCUUAGAGCACCAAGAACUGCUAACUCUUGUAUCUUUGGUUAAAUUCCAGAGCUCACUCA